AUAACCUGCCUUGGAAAACAUGAGUCCAAGAAUUUCACCUAAGAAUUACUUCAAGAGUGUCCUUUCUGGUUGAGCUAAUGAAUGCUUCUUCAAGUCACAGCCAACCUGUGAAAAACUGAAGCAACAAAGAAUCUUUUCUAUCUUCUGGAUGGAUAUCAGAAGUUGGCACAGAUGUUACAAUAUGAAAGGGAUGCAAAACUUUGUGCAAUCCAAUACAAGAUUAACCUUUACUGCAUAACAAGGCCUUUCUAAUGGAUGUCAGACUGGCAACGAUCUCCUAACAGCCAUUGCAUCUUCUCUUUGUUCUCAGCAAGGCAAGUGAAGUUUCUUUUAAUCUCUUCUCAUGUGAUGGAUCUUCCAUUUCCUUAACUGUUCUAACACCCUUUCUUUGUUCUCGCAUUAAUCUUUCUGGAAGAUGGGUGGUAUCAUUACAUAAAGCACUCCUGAGUUUUCACUAAGGGUUUUUAUUGAGGCUUAGUCGAGUGGUCUGUUUUCAAUGAAAAGAUUUGUCCUGUUUCAUCUUAGUAUCACGCUUGCUUUUUUCCCCAUGGUUGCACCACAGAUCAGGCUGUUAGCCAUCCUGUGAUCGGCCACACGUAGGCUUUUUCCCUCCUCAGCCAUUUUCAACCAAUGAAU